rnacentral:rRNA from 1 species
GACGAACGCUGGCGGCGUGCUUAACACAUGCAAGUCGAACGGAAAGGCCCUGCUUUUGUGGGGUGCUCGAGUGGCGAACGGGUGAGUAACACGUGAGUAACCUGCCCUUGACUUUGGGAUAACUUCAGGAAACUGGGGCUAAUACCGGAUAGGAGCUCCUGCUGCAUGGUGGGGGUUGGAAAGUUUCGGCGGCUGGGGAUGGACUCGCGGCUUAUCAGCUUGUUGGUGGGGUAGUGGCUUACCAAGGCUUUGACGGGUAGCCGGCCUGUGAGGGUGCCCGGCCACAUUGGGACUGAGAUACGGCCCAGACUCCUACGGGAGGCAGCAGUGGGGAGUAUUGCACAAUGGGCGGAAUCCUGAUGCAGCAACGCCGCGUGCGGGAUGACGGCCUUCGGGUUGUAGACCGCUUUCGCCUGUGACGAAGCGUGAGUGACGGUAAUGGGUAAAGAAGCACCGGCGAACAACGUG